CGCGAAGAAGGCCUGACGUAAAACAACGUGGAUUUGUGUCAUCAUUAAAAAUCCCAGAUUUUUUUUUCUCACAGCAAAGUGUCUCAACUAGAACCCCACAACUUGCGCAACCGCGUCAUUGCCACGUCCCGCCGAAUCUGUUAAGGAAUAAAACAAAAAGAGAAUCCCUUUAAUCGCGGUUUUGAGCUGAGUCCCUCUACCAGACUCAUCCAGACGCGGUUCGCACGACGCCCGAUCAUCUGCGUUCAAUCACGCCGAACACGCCCCGCUGCCCGCGGCGCACCUUUAAACCAGAGGCCCGCUGGACCCCGACCUGUACAAAUCCGAAAAUACCAUUUUAAUCCGAGGUGUUUCUACUGUGGUUUCAUUUUUUUCUGACAAAAAAUUAGCCUUAGCAUGUUAGCCGAGGUGGCAGGGCCCCGGCGUUUACAUUUUUUAUUUCAGAUAUAUUUUUCAUGUUACCUCAAUUAUUUUUUUUAACGACAUUUGCAAACGUCUCGUUAGUCGUGUUUGUUUCAAAUUAGCAUUAGCGUUUUAGCAAAAGUAUCAUAUUUAAUUUUAUUUUAACAAAAACGUUAUCAAAAGAAAAAUUGUAUGUUUCAUUGGUUUUUAUUUCAUUUGAAAUGACCAACUAAAGGCAGACACGAGUCUUUUCUUCUCUCCAUUAUCUGAUUUUUUUUCAUUAGAGAUGGAGGGAGAUGAUGAUGAAGAUGAAGGCCUCUGUGCCCCGGAUAAUUCAAACCGGCUCGGCGGCCGCCUUUCGGGCUCAAUAACUCUCCACUCGCUGCACCCGAGAAGGCAGAAUUGUGAGGCAACGACGAACGGGCCCACGGGACAGAACAUCAAACGGUACCGGUCCGGAGCGACAAAUACCAGGUGGUCGGCCUAGCUGUUGAGGAAAUGGACCCGUAACCGGGUUUUUUUUUAGCAGAUCAGCACGCCUGUCAGAAUUUCACACCCUUGGUUUCUGCGCAUGCGUCGCGCCAUCACGGUCGUGUACCACCGAAUA
rnacentral:lncRNA from 1 species